CCAUCAGAACUAUUUCACUCAUCAACCAAUUUGCUACACUCGUCUCCAAUAUAACAAAGACUAGCUUUCCCUUCUCAAUGGCCUCCUUUAACAGCGUGGUCUUUCUUAGCCUCUUGGUUGCCGUUUCGGCAUUCAUGGCCGCUCCUUCCACUGUUGAAGCCGGUGUACGUGAAGUGGAAAAUGUUAUUAACGUCACUGGGAAGGUGCCUUGUGCCUACAAUACCACUAUUUUACGCAAUGGCAGUCUCGCAGGCCCCCGAUUCCCCAAUGCGACGGUUCAAUUGCAGUGCGGAAAGAAUAACACGAUUGAAGGAACAAAUACGACAAACUCAAAUGGAACGUUUUCCAUCCUUGUACGAUUUAACGAAAGCCUCUUGCAAACCUUAAUUCAAUCUGUGAAAAUCGUUAAAAAUUGUUCAGUAGCUGUUGUGACGCCUCUCUCCACUUGCAACGCCAACCUCACAUCCAAUGGAACUCUUAGAUCACCCCUUGACAAAGACCGCAUUGACAGGCAAGGAGAUAUAAGAAUGUUCAUUCUUACCGCUGAGAUGUUUAAGUUUGAAAAUCGGACCCAGACAAUGUGACAAAUCAUGUCUAUAUAAUAUAAAUAAAUAUAUAUCGCCUAGUCGAUGAUAUGCUAAAUAAAACUUAAAUAAAGUCUAUGGAAUUGCUCGAUGCAUGUAACGUCGUUUAAUCAUAGAAUUACUCUGUGUGUUUCUGUUUGUUUUCGGUUCUGUCAAGCUUUGUAUUCAGAUCUGCCGGGAUACAUAUAUAAUAUACUCCUGUGUUUAAUAUA